AAAUAAUUAGUUUAAGAUAAAACAUUUGAUUUCGACUCAAAAAACUGUGGUUUAAAUCCACAAUCGUUUA
rnacentral:tRNA from 1 species